GCUGGUGGUCUCAGCCAGAGAAAACCCAGGUCUUCCUCUUGGGCAGAUGAGAAAACCCAGGUGCACAGAAGUUAAAAAUCCCUGCCCCUGCCAUCACCAAUGCCGCCACUGGGGCUAGCGGUCCUGCUUCUUGACCUCACGAUAUCAACUGCCCAUCUCACAAGCAGGAGAAGAAGAAGCAGUUGGAACACUGGUGUAGACCACUAGAAGUGGAUCAGCACACAGACCCCCAGCCUGCCUCUGACACCCCGGGGGUUGGGUAGUGUAGUGCAGGGCCCAGUGACAAACCAGCAGAUUCCUCGGGGUCUGAGCCAGCCACUGAGACCUGCAGAAGCCAACCUUUGCCUCCUUGCCUGGUCCAGUCUGCAAAACAAGCCUCCCCGCUCUAUACCCCCGUGCUCAAACGGAGCAUCUGUGAGGACCUGGGCCAGGCUCAGCGGUCAGGGCCUCUGGCCACACAGAGGUGUCCAUCUACCUGCAAAUUCAGCUGACACAGUGAGCGGGCCUGGCGGGUCUCCAUCCAGAACUGCUUAUUCCAGUCCUCUCCCAGCCCCCCAGGGAGCUCAGGGUCACCCACUCCUGCCCUCCCCUCUGGGAUGAUGCAGCUGCCACCUCCCCCAGGUGCUAGGGCAGGCCCUUCUUCAGGACAAAGCUGAGCUGAGGCAAGGGCUGCUCCUGGUUUCCUUGGUGACC
rnacentral:lncRNA from 1 species